rnacentral:rRNA from 1 species
GAAGUAAAAGUCGUAACAAGGUUUCCGUAGGUGAACCUGCGGAAGGAUCAUUAAUGAUUGCGAAUGGUUGCCUUCGGUGCUGGCUCUUGCAAGUGCACGUUGGUGGCUUUCAUCCAAUACCCUUGUGAACCUUUGGCCUCUUGCUGGCUUUGGCCGGCAGAGGAUUUUUACACACACUCGAAUGUAAUGAAAACUAUUGUCGUGCGCAAGCACUAAUGUACAACUUUCAACAACGGAUCUCUUGGCUCUCGCAUCGAUGAAGAACGCAGCGAAAUGCGAUAAGUAAUGUGAAUUGCAGAAUUCAGUGAAUCAUCGAAUCUUUGAACGCACCUUGCACCCUUUGGUAUUCCGAAGGGUAUGCUCGUUUGAGUGUCAUUGUACUCUCACUCUCUCUGAUCCUUUGGAUUCAGGGAGUGGUGGACUUGGGUGUUUGCUGCUUUCCUUGUGGCUCACCUCAAAUGCGUCAGUGCACCUCUUGGUUGGACAUAGUACGGCGUGAUAAGUAUCUUCGCCGGCACCUCGCGAGAGGGUGGCCGAUCGGGAGCUCUGUGCUUUCAAACUGUCUUCGGACAAUCUCUGACAACUUGACCUCAAAUCGAGUAGGACUACCCGCUGAACUUAAGCAUA